UCAUUCGAGGAGUAGUGACAACAACUAACGAGACUGCUCCCUCUGGAACAGUCAUCGAAAUGGGUACAAUUUAAACCCUUUAACGAGGAUCAAUGAGAGGGCAAGUCUGGUGCCAGCAGCCGCGUAAUUCCAGCUCUCAGUGUAUGUCAUUUUUUGCUGCGGUUAAAAAGCUCGUAGUUGGAUCUGAGCCUUUGGGUACGGUUCAUCUUCUGAUGAUACUGUGUCCGGGGUUAAUUUCGUCGGUUCUCCGGCGAGAGUUACUCUGAAUAAAUCAGAGUGCUCAAAACAAGCGUUUCGCUUGAAUGUUUUUGCAUGGAAUAAUGGAAAAGGACUUCGGUUCCUUACUGUUGGUUUCGGAAUUGGAUUAAUGAUUAAGAGGGACCAACGGGGGCAUGCGUACCGCUACGCGAGAGGUGAAAUUCAUGGACCGUAGCGUGACGAACUAAAGCGAAAGCUUUGCCAAGAAAUGUCUUCAUUAAUCAAGAAC
rnacentral:rRNA from 1 species